rnacentral:rRNA from 1 species
AUUGAACGCUGGCGGCAGGCCUAACACAUGCAAGUCGAGCGGGGACUUCGUUCCUAUCGGCGAACGGGUGAUUAAUGCUUGGUAAUCUGCCCAGUAGUGGGGGAUAACGUCCCUAAAGGUACGCUAAUACCGCUUACGUCCUACGGGAGAAUGAUGUGGAUCUUCUGUCCUCUCCCUCUUUGUUGUGCCCAAGUCGGAUUAGCUAGUUGGUAGGGUAAUGGCCUACCAAGGCGACGAUCCGUAGCUGGUGUGAGAGGAUGAUCAGCAACACUGGAACUGAGACACGGAACAGACGACUACGGGAGGAAGCAGAGGGGAAUAUUGGACAAUGGGCGAAAGCAGGAUAAAGAAAAGCCGAGUGUGUGAAGAAGGCCUAAGGGUUGUAAAGCACGUUAAGGGGGGAGGAAGGUACGCGGAAUAAUACGUAGCGGAAUUGACGUUAACCGAAGAAUAAGCACCGGCUAACUAUGUG